AGACUUUAUUUGCUUCACUGAGACUCCACCUUCAAUUAAUUUGGCUAUCCUGGAGAGAAAUAAAAUGGACAAGUUGAUGCCAUCUGAUUGAAGUUUAAGACAGAAACCUCUCAAACAGUUGCUGAUUGUAACCAAAGAGAAUAAAGAAAUCCAUCAGAUUAUGUCCAGCAAAUUUAAUGUCUGCUGGACCCUCUGCAUCUUGCUGUCCUCUGAUAAGUUCAAGAUUCCUGUUUGUAUCUAAGUAUCUUAUCGAGACAGAAAAAAGGACCUAUCUGACUACUUGCAGGAUCACAUGGACCAUACUCCUGGGAUAA
rnacentral:lncRNA from 1 species